rnacentral:rRNA from 1 species
AGAGUUUGAUCAUGGCUCAGGACGAACGCUGGCGGCGUGCCUAAUACAUGCAAGUCGAGCGAACCGACGAGGUGCUUGCACCUUUGACGUUAGCGGCGAACGGGUGAGUAACACGUAAGGAAUCUACCUAUAAGUGGGGGAUAACAUCCGGAAACGGGUGCUAAUACCGCAUAAUAACUGACACCACAUGGUGUAAGUUUGAAAGAUGGCUCUGCUGUCACUUAUAGAUGACCUUGCGGUGCAUUAGCUAGUUGGUGGGGUAAUAGCCUACCAAGGCCAUGAUGCAUAGCCGACCUGAGAGGGUGAUCGGCCACAUUGGGACUGAGACACGGCCCAAACUCCUACGGGAGGCAGCAGUAGGGAAUCUUCCGCAAUGGACGCAAGUCUGACGGAGCAACGCCGCGUGAGUGAAGAAGGUUUUCGGAUCGUAAAACUCUGUUAUAAGAGAAGAACAAGUUGUAGAGUAACUGUUGCAGCUUUGACGGUAUCUUAUCAGAGAGCCACGGCUAACUACGUGCCAGCAGCCGCGGUAAUACGUAGGUGGCAAGCGUUGUCCGGAUUUAUUGGGCGUAAAGGGAGCGCAGGUGGUUUCUUAAGUCUGAUGUGAAAGCCCACGGCUCAACCGUGGAGGGUCAUUGGAAACUGGGAAACUUGAGUACAGAAGAGGAAAGUGGAAUUCCAUGUGUAGCGGUGGAAUGCGUAGAUAUAUGGAGGAACACCAGUGGCGAAGGCGACUUUCUGGUCUGUUACUGACACUGAGGCUCGAAAGCGUGGGGAGCAAACAGGAUUAGAUACCCUGGUAGUCC